rnacentral:rRNA from 1 species
ACCCGCUGAACUUAAGCAUAUCAAUAAGCGGAGGAAAAGAAACUAACAAGGAUUCCCCUAGUAACGGCGAGUGAAGCGGGAAAAGCUCAAAUUUGAAAUCUCGCAGGGUCACCUGUGCGAAUUGUAGUUUCUAGAAACGUUUUCGGGGGCAACUCGAGCAUAAGUCCUUUGGAACGAGGCAUCAUAGAGGGUGAGAAUCCCGUCUUUGGCUCGAUGCUUGCUCCUGUGUGAUACGUUUUCGAAGAGUCGGUUUGUUUGGGAAUGCAGACCAAAAUGGGUGGUAAAUACCAUCUAAAGCUAAAUAUUGGCGAGAGACCGAUAGCGAACAAGUACCGUGAGGGAAAGAUGAAAAGAACUUUGAAAAGAGAGUUAAACAGUACGUGAAAUUGUCAAAAGGGAAACGCUUGAUACCAGUAUUGCUUGCAGAUGAUCAGCCGUGCGUUUACGUGCGGUGCACUCUUCUGCGAGCGGGUCAACAUCAAUUUGGUUCGACAGCAAAAAACUGCAGGAAUGUAGCAUGGGGUUCGCUCUGAUGUGUUAUAGCCUUCGGACAUCUGCUUUGGACUGGAUUGAGGACUGCAGAGUUUCUUGGGUAACCGGUCGCCUUUCGACGCACUUGUUUGGACAGCUUGCUGAUCAGGCUCGUGACUAGGAAGCUUCGGCCGGGGUCCACGACCAACGCUUCGGAUGUUGACGAAAUGGUCUC